rnacentral:rRNA from 1 species
ACGAACGCUGGCGGCGUGCUUAACACCUGCAAGUCGAACGGUGAAGCUCCAGCUUGCUGGAGUGGAUCAGUGGCGAACGGGUGAGUAACACGUGAGCAACCUGCCCCUGACUCUGGAAUAAGCGCUGGAAACGGCGUCUAAUACUGGAUACGAGAAGGGUCCGCAUGGGCACUUUCUGGAAAGUUUUUCGGUUGGGGAUGGGCUCGCGGCCUAUCAGCUUGUUGGUGAGGUAAUGGCUCACCAAGGCGACGACGGGUAGCCGGCCUGAGAGGGCGACCGGCCACACUGGGACUGAGACACGGCCCAGACUCCUACGGGAGGCAGCAGUGGGGAAUAUUGCACAAUGGGCGAAAGCCUGAUGCAGCGACGCCGCGUGAGGGAUGACGGCCUUCGGGUUGUAAACCUCUUUCAGCAGGGAAGAAGCGAAAGUGACGGUACCUGCAGAAGAAGCACCGGCUAACUACGUG